rnacentral:rRNA from 1 species
UACAGGGGGGGCAAGCGUUGUUCGGAAUUACUGGGCGUAAAGGGCUCGUAGGUGGCCAACUAAGUCGGACGUGAAAUCCCUCAGCUUAACUGGGGAACUGCGUCCGAUACUGGAUGGCUUGAGUUUGGGAGAGGGAUGCGGAAUUCCAGGUGUAGCGGUGAAAUGCGUAGAUAUCUGGAGGAACACCGGUGGCGAAGGCGGCUUCCUGGACCGACACUGACGCUGAGGCGCGAAAGCUAGGGGAGCAAACGGG